rnacentral:misc_RNA from 1 species
AUAUCGUCAGAAUGUAUGCAUGUGUGGACAUUGUAUGCAUUCCUACGAGUUAAAGCAUACUGCACGGGAAAAUUGGGGAAAAUGGCGUGCACCGGUAUACGGGUAGCAAGAGUGCUUAAAAACAACACAUUCUUCUCUAAUUUGAGUGGAUUAUUACUAAAUCCAUCACGUAAUACCGCCGUGCUAAUCAAGUACCGAGUUUUCAGCUCAAGACCUUCCGAAACCGAAAAUGAUCGAGACCCGGCACCGUUGUUUUUCAACAAGGAGGUACAGGAUUUGCUUAAAACAUUGACCAAAGUGGACCUGAAAAGAGUUUAUCGUCACCGAAAAGAUGGUGAAAAGCUGGAGCCUCCAGUCUAUAAGUUUAUGACUGAUGAUGAUUUGGAAGCAGCAUUAAAUGAGGCAAAAGCAAAAGCAGAUCUGCGUCUUCAAAUGCCACCAGUUGUGAAGAAGAUUAACGAUACUCCAAACAUAUUAUCGAAUGAUCAUGCUCUCCAAAAACACGAUACAGCAAAAUUCGUUUUCACAGACAUAACUUAUGGCAUCUCCAAUGUGGACAGAUUUAUUGUAGUCAGAGAUCCAGAUGGGAUUUUGAGAAGUGCAGAUGCUAGAGAGAGGCACAGAAUGAAUCAAAUCUAUUUUCCCCUAGAAGGACGGGAAGUUGAUGCGCCUAAAUUAUUUCAAGAAGAGUAUUUAAUGGAUUUACUUGAGCGUGAGGAAUAUGAGUUCAUUUUGGAUCUUGCCUGUGUACAGUUUGAGCCUAAUGACCCAGAGUAUCAUAGGGUAACCGAGACGGUUUAUUCUUACGUAAAUAACAUGAAGCACUUCAAUUAUUUGAGGUCAACCAGACACUUUGGUCCCCUUGCGUUCCAUUUGGCUUGGAAAGGAAAUAUCGAUAAUUUGAUUCUGGAGAACAUUCAGACUUCGAGAUUGGACGAUGCUGUCUUACUAAUACAGUUAUAUCAUAAAAUUCAUCCUACGGCAAAAUCAGCAGAGACCAAAUUUGAAGGCGAUGAAUUGAAGUUCAUUCAAAGUUUUGUUGAUAAUGACUCAAAUAAUAGAAAUACAUUAGACCUAGCGAUAAAAUCAUACGUUAAUCUAGAAAAUGCCAAGCUUGAAGUCAACGAAGGCAUUAAGAGAGCCCAUGGUAGCGAUUGAAAUGUGUACAUUGUAAUAUCAUAAUUUUAGAUUAAUAAAGUAUAUCAAAGGAAAAACGGUUAAUUAUUCACCAAUACAAAUAUUUCCAAAUUAUUUUUGACUAAUUACUCCCAUAUGCCAGAAAUUUUUGCAGUAAUUAAUGACUUGUUUCAUAUAUUUUCAGAUGGGGGCAAAAAAUAGGAAGCCGCCUGCAAUUUGAGGUAGCUCCCAGUAUUUAGAAAAUAUUCUAGGAUUACCUCGCUCUAAUCAUUGUAAAAAACGACAUGCUUAGAAUUUCCAAGUCCAUGCUCUUGACCUAUUUGGGAUGUGGACCUCAAAACUCAGACGGUUUAGGAUGAAUUACCAAAUGAUGGGAGUAGCUGCUGUUUGCUAUAAUAAUAACGACAGUAGUCAGUAGUAACAACGUUUGUAUUCAAACUGCAAAAUGAAAAUAAUUUUUCGACUAUACUUAUUUAUAUUAUAAUAUGUCAUGACAUCCUAAUACUUAAUUUGUAAAAAUUUUUUCUGCCUGUGAUGUUAAUGCAAUCACACUAAAUGUAGGUACUAAAGACACUUUAUUAGUCAAUGUGUACUAAACUUUCAAACAAUUUUCGACCUGAUCUGAUGGACAUGUUUUAGCAAUUAAUUGGCUAAAGCUUGUUGGAAUAACAGGAUUACCUUUUAGCAUGAGAAGAUAAUCAUCAAAAAUCAAGCAAGGAGAGUUUUGAAAAUAGAUAUGACAUUAAUUAUGUAUACGAUUUGAUGGUGGUUCCACGUGAUUUUAUUAACCCUAACAAUAAAUUCAAUCUGUGCACAUGCAUCCAAGUAGAUGAAUGUCCAAGUCGAAUCAUUUAUUUGUUCUCUUGGAUGUAAAACAUUCUACAAUAUAUCAUUACGGAUAGUUUGAAAAAACGAAAGUAUCCGAUAAUAGUUUAGUCAUUAACUACGAAGGCUUUGCUAAUUUGUAAAAUAUUUACUUUCCAACUUCAUAGGAUGUUAUGCCAUGAUACGUGAUCAAGCAUUUAUAACUCUCUUUUUAAGCAAAGCAUAUAGAGAUUGAUAUAAUAAAUGUUGUGGACUCUACUACAUUCAUUUAAAAAUCUAUAUUUGUACACAUAAACUUUGCACUCUGUCGAACAUUUGUGAACAUGAGUGUUUCGCUUAUUAUAGCAGUCUUCAAAUUCACGUAGUCUUCAAAUUGGUGUAUUAAGUUGUAAAAAUCUAGCGUAAAAAUUGAUUAGAAUUCAUCAAUAUACAGUAAACUAUUACAAGAGAUGACAAACUUGACCAGUAUUAGUACAAAGUAACAAAACAUAUGGUGUGUUACAUUAUAAAAAUGGAUGCAUUAAAUUGUAAAUUUUACUACGAAUUAGUCAACAUUGUUUUGCUGAUAGGAAUUCUGCUUCAAACAGUACACGCGAUUAUCAUUAUAAUAUGACGCUAAAGUCACAAACUAUCUCUACCAGUUUCAAAAUGAAUAUUCAGUGAUGAUAAACUGUAUAAUAUGUGUGUAAUUCGGCAACAAAGUUUCUAUCAUCUACAUUAUCGCUGCAUGUAUAAAUUAUUAUAAAGUAUAAAAUUUUUAACAAUGUACGUCACUUGACAAAAGCUGAAUUAGCAUUGUGAUGCUGUGUCAAGGUUGUAAGCUUAUAUUACAGACAGUUUUUUGAAUAUCUACAUAUAUUCUCCUAGAAGUUUAUCGUUUCUUAGUGAUUGAUUUGAAGAAAAUAAUGUGAUGAAAAUUUCAUGACAUUCAUCACAUCACUUCGACCUUGGUAUCGAGUCUUGAGCAUGUAUA